CAGCCCCUGCCCAGCCCCGGCGAGGCUCGGCCUCGCCUGAUCUGGUGAGGCCAAGCCUCGCCGGUGGUUGGGCUUGCCUCCA
rnacentral:pre_miRNA from 1 species